rnacentral:hammerhead_ribozyme from 1 species
AUCCAGUUGAUGAGUCAAAAGUAGGACGAAAUGCGCAUCCUGGAU